rnacentral:lncRNA from 1 species
UAAAAACCUAGGGACCUAAUACACAAUAAAGACCUAGGACUAAUCAGAAAAAAUACAAAAAUAUAGACCUAGACCCUUAAGGAAAAAACGGAAAAAAACAAAAGGACCUAAAAUGAAAACAAGGCGUCAGCAAUUUCGAUAGACCUAACGCCUAAGUUGCUAAAGGGGGCUUCAGCUGAAAAUAAAGAGGAUAUAAUUAAAAACCUAGAGACCUAUGCUACGGGGUCUCUAAGGGAAUCAGCCGCAAAAGGGCCAAAAAAUAUGAGAGACCCCCCCUCCAUCGGACCCUUCUUCUUCAUAGAGACCUCCAUGAGCUUCUUCUUCAUGAAGCUAUAAGAACCCUAGGAGCCUAAGGAAAAUUCAGCCGCUAAUCACCCAUCGAGAGCAGCUGCUGCUCAUUUUGUCUUCCUCCUCCAGCAGAUCGUCGGAUUAACGAGCUCUAGCCGAGCAACAACGAACCAGAACACCAAACGACCUACCCCUGAAGAUCGAGCGUCUUCUUCCUGAACAAAAAAUCUCGAACCUAGCUAACAGAGACCAUCGACAAGAACACCUCUCCAUCAGCUUCUCCUUCUCCAAGACCCAACAACCAGAACGCAACCUUCUCUCUCAUUUGUCUGUCGCGCUUCUGUCGCUGGCGAGGUUCCAGUGCUAUCGCUUUUCCGUUCGAGUCACUUGAGUCUGGUUUGUGAGGCUGCCGAAUCAAGUUUUCCGGUCGUGGGCUCAUCAAAUUCCAAAGGAUUAUUGCUAUACAAAUCAUUUUUAAGGAUCUAUAGUCUGAAAGAGAAUAUUUUACUACAAUGAAAGGUCCAUUUCUCUAAUUUUGUUCUCUAAUUCAUUAUGUUAAUCUCUUCCUAACAUCUGAUGUGAUAUAGUUUUAGUAUUCUGCUGUGCUAUCUCACAAAAUUGAAUGUCGUCGUGAUCAAUCAAACGUAACCAUCGUAUUUGCUAAAUGAUAACAUCAUGUAUAUCAUCUAUGUCCAUACUUAGCUUCAUGUUAGUUUUAAUGGUAUUAUGAGUUAGCAUGUUAUGGUUUAUAUAAUAUUUUGCUGUGAGUUAAUAAAUGAAUUGAUGAAACACUAGAUUUUUUUUAGAUUGGAGUGAAUUAGGUUUGUUUGGUUUGGACUUUUAGUAAGUUAAAAUUGGUGUAAUUCUACAUUUAGAUUAGAAUUUUUUGUUUUCUUCUUAGUUGAUUGUUUGAUGGUCUACAAUGAUGAUGAGUAAGAUGGGAUUUGCACUUUUCAGGGCAUGAAUCUCGUAGUUUGCUUUAGAUACGUAAUUAAAUUAUUACACCUACGGGUGCAGUUCUCGUGACGUAGUUGUGAUACUUAUUUUUAAAAUAGGAGCAUCUUCAAUUUGCCUUAGAAGAAAAAUACAAAUCUUUCCUUUUAAAAAUAAUUUGGGGUGUGCCAUACACAAAUGAAAAUCCUAUAAUCUAUGUCUCUCACAUAAAUACAAAAUUAGUAUAGAAAAUGCCUUAAACUUUCGUAGUUUGCUUUAGGCGUGUUAAUUAAAUAAUUGUCAUGGCCACGGGUACGGUUCCCGUAACGUGGUCGUGACAUUUAAUUUCUAAAUAUCCGGGGGUACAUUUAUGUGACCCGGCUAUAAUUUAAUCUUGAUAAUAAAAUAAACAUGUUUUGGAUCGUGGGUACGGUUCCCAUGACAUGAUCCGCAACGUGUAAUCAAGUAAUUAGUUGUAUAACAAUUGGAUGAUUAAAAGCGGUUUAAAGGGAAGAAAAAUGCACAUAGGUUUCAAGUAUGUUUUAAAAUAAAAUAAAUAGGCUAAUAAUAAUAAUUGAGCGACCGUGCUAAAACCACGAAACCCAGGAAUGCUUAACACCUUCUCUCGGGUUAACAAAAUUCCUUACCCGGAUUUCUGUGUUUCGCGGACUGUAAAACAAAGUCAAUCUUUCCUCGAUUCGGGAUUUAAAACCGGUGACUUGGGACACCAUAAAUUAACCCAAGUGGCGACUCUGAAUUUUAAAUAAAAUAAUCCCAUUUCGAUUGUCACUCAAAUUGGAAAAAACUCUCUUAUACCCCUUCCGGGGGUAGGAAAAAGAGGUGUGACAGCUCUGGCGACUCUGCUGGGGAUCGAACCCAGAAUCUCUAGUUCAGGGUUCAAGAAUUCGAUCUUAGAAUAAUUGUUAUAUUUGGCUUUUAUUUAUUAUCUGAUUUUGUUUACAUGUUUGGGCCUAAUGUGCUAAAUGUUGCUUUUUACCGCUUUGAUAUUAUCUGAACUGUAUAUAAACUGCUACGAAACCCCUCUCUUCUAUCUUCUGAGGAGUAUACGCUGGCGUGACUUCUUUCUGUUAGUGUCAUAUCCCAAUUUAGAACGAGGUUCGGACAAGUUUUAAAGCCGGAUGAUCUUUUGGUUACCAGUACCCGCCCCCCCUCCCCCCCGUCUCGAGUUGUCCACUCGGGUAAGCCAGGUCUAGAACAAUACACCCAGGUUUUAAACUUAGAAUAACUCAGCCUCAUGCCAGAUCCCUAGUAGGAAUGUUUGUUUGCAUCACGUGCAUCUGACUUUGGGGACUCAACACAGGGGUUGGGUCCGUCUAGGACAGGUGUGCCCAAAAAUAAAAGACAAUCCUGAUGCAUCCUAUGUGCUACAUGUUGCAAUUUUUAAGGGUAAAAGGGUCAUUUGGCAGACCAAUGAUAGCUGAGGGCAAACAAAAAAAGAAAAAAAGAGGGUGAAGUGUGAAACCUAAAGCAAGUAGAGCCCGGUUAUAUUUUCUUUCACAUUAUUUUUUAAAAGAAAAGAGGAGAAAAAAACAUGAAAAAUUCAAUAAGAUUUUGCACUUUUCCAUCAUCUUCCAAAAAUCAAAAAACAAAAUUAGGAAAAAAGAGAAAAAAGAAAAUCCAGAAAGAGUUUACAUGCUUCAUCAUUUUUCAAAACAAAAGACAAAAAUAUAUUUUCUCUAAUUAGUUUUUUUUUAAUUCUCGCUCGUAUCCAAUCUGCCCGAACUACGCAUACCUGAUUCUCGUCUUUCGGGGCGUGAUAUGUAGGCAACCCACAUAGGCUUCGGUCUUCCUAGUAAAUCUUAUAUUCUUGGCUUUGUGGGUUCUUAGCCAAAUUUUGCACUUCUAGCCAUCUUUAGGCCGCAUAAGCCAUUUUACAAAAAUAGCCUCAAUCAUGUCUUGCAUACGUCCAAUAGGGAAUGUUAUUGUCUCACAUAGUGUUCUAGGUCUUUAACCUUGUUUGGUCUUAAUUUUCUCAUAUAGGUGUAGAUCUACUUACCGGAGUUUGGGCAUGACAGACGCCCUAGGACCAUCCAGUCAGGGUCGCUCCUUCAGGAGUUUGCUUAAGGAGAUUUUUUUAGUUAUUAUGUUUUGAGUUUGUUGUUCCUUUUAUGUCGUCUUUUACCUUCUAAUUUUGUAUAGUAAUGUCGAGUCUUUUGUUAUUGUACUUUCUAUUUUGUAUUUGAAAAAGUGUGUUGUAACUCAAAAAUCCAAAAAAAAGAGAGAUUUUGCGUUUUAUAUUUCCGUUAGAAGUUUUCUUGAGAAUACUAUAACAACAACAACAACAACAACAN